rnacentral:rRNA from 1 species
AUCAACUUUCGAUGGUAGGAUAGAGGCCUACCAUGGUGGUAACGGGUAACGGGGUGUUAGGGUACGACACCGCAGAGGGAGCCUGAGAAACGGCUACCACAUCCAAGGAAGGCAGCAGGCGCGCAAAUUACCCAUUCCCGACACGGGGAGGUAGAGACAAUAAAUAACAAUACAGGGUUCUUUUGGAUCUUGUAAUUGGAAUGAGUACAAUUUAAAUCUCUUAACGAGGAACAAUUGGAGGGUAAGUCUGGUGCCAGCAGCCGCGGUAAUUCCAGCUCCAAUAGCGUAUAUUAAAGUUGUUGCAGUUAAAAAGCUCGUAGUUGAAUUUCUGGAUCAAUAUUUCGGUCAUGCCGUUGGUAUGCACUGUUAUCAUUGAUUUCUCACCUUCUACAGAACCGUAAUGCCAUUAAUUUGGUGAUACGGGGAAUUAGGACUGUUACCUUGAAAAAAUUAGAGUGUUUAAAGCAGGCUCACGCUUGAAUACAUUAGCAUGGAAUAAUGAAAUAGGACAUCUGAUUCUAUUUUGUGGGUUUCUAGGAUCGAUGUAAUGAUUAAUAGGGAUAGUUGGGGGCAUUAGUAUUCAAUUGUCAGAGGUGAAAUUCUUGGAUUUAUUGAAGACUAACUACUGCGAAAGCAUUUGCCAAGGAUGUUUUCAUUAAUCAAGAACGAAAGUUAGGGGAUCGAAGACGAUCAGAUGCCGUCGUAGUCUUAACCAUAAACUAUGCCGACUAGGGAUCGGAUGAUGUUAAUUAUUUAAUGACUCAUUCGGCGCCUUACGGGAAACCAAAGUGUUUGGGUUC